GACGAACGCUGGCGGCGUGCUUAACACAUGCAAGUCGAACGGAAAGGCCCUGCUUUUGUGGGGUGCUCGAGUGGCGAACGGGUGAGUAACACGUGAGUAACCUGCCCUUGACUUUGGGAUAACUUCAGGAAACUGGGGCUACUACCGGAUAUGAGCUCCUGCUGCAUGGUGGGGGUUGGAAAGUUUCGGCGGUUGGGGAUGGACUCGCGGCUUAUCAGCUUGUUGGUGGGGUAGUGGCUUACCAAGUCUUUGACGGCUAGUCGGCCUGAGAGGGUGACCGGCCACAUUGGGACUGAGAUACGGACCAGACUCCUACGGGAGGCAGCAGUGGGGAAUAUUGCACAAUGGUCGGAAGCCUGAUGCAGCAACGCCGCGGUCGGGAUGACGGCCUUCGGGUUGUAAACCGCUUUCGCCUGUGACGAAGCGUGAGUGACGGUAAUGGGUAAAGAAGCACCGGCUAACUACGUG
rnacentral:rRNA from 1 species